rnacentral:rRNA from 1 species
UACGUAGGUGGCAAGCGUUGUCCGGAUUUACUGGGCGUAAAGAGCGCGCAGGCGGUCGUUCAAGUCGAGUGUGAAAGCCCCGGGCUCAACCUGGGAAUUGCGUUCGAUACUGGAUAGCUAGAGUUCGGCAGAGGGAAGCGGAAUUUCGGGUGUAGCGGUGAAAUGCGUAGAUAUCCGAAGGAACAUCAGUGGCGAAAGCGGCUUCCUGGACCAGAACUGACGAUCAGGCACGAAAGCGUGGGGAGCAAACAGG